rnacentral:rRNA from 1 species
UCGAGGGGCAGCACAGGUAGCAAUACCGGGUGGCGACCGGCGCACGGGUGAGUAACGCGUAUGCAACUUACCUAUCAGAGGGGGAUAACCCGGCGAAAGUCGGACUAAUACCGCAUGAAGCAGGGGCCCCGCAUGGGGAUAUUUGCUAAAGAUUCAUCGCUGAUAGAUAGGCAUGCGUUCCAUUAGGCAGUUGGCGGGGUAACGGCCCACCAAACCGACGAUGGAUAGGGGUUCUGAGAGGAAGGUCCCCCACAUUGGUACUGAGACACGGACCAAACUCCUACGGGAGGCAGCAGUGAGGAAUAUUGGUCAAUGGCCGAGAGGCUGAACCAGCCAAGUCGCGUGAGGGAUGAAGGUUCUAUGGAUCGUAAACCUCUUUUAUAAGGGAAUAAAGUGCGGGACGUGUCCCGUUUUGUAUGUACCUUAUGAAUAAGGAUCGGCUAACUCCGUGCCAGCAGCCGCGGUAAUACGGAGGAUCCGAGCGUUAUCCGGAUUUAUUGGGUUUAAAGGGUGCGUAGGCGGCCUUUUAAGUCAGCGGUGAAAGUCUGUGGCUCAACCAUAGAAUUGCCGUUGAAACUGGGGGGCUUGAGUAUGUUUGAGGCAGGCGGAAUGCGUGGUGUAGCGGUGAAAUGCAUAG